CACUGUUUUCACCUAAUUAUUUAUCUCCCCAAACAGUCACUUUAUUUUCAGGCCUUAAAGCUAAUGUUUUAUAAAUUUAGGAGUAUAUUGAUGAUUGAUUUUUUCAUAUGCUUCUAUAUAAUUCAUACAAAAUAUAAAAACAUAUUUUAUAUGUUCUUUCAUUGGGUAUACAAAAUCACACAUUGUAGUGUCAGCUGAUCUUUGACAGGUCUGUACCAUGGGCUGGGCACAUUAUCCUAUAUUGUCCUCAACCCUCACAAUAACCUGCUAGAUCGGUACUGUUAACCUGAGGAAGCAAAGGUCUAGGGAGAGCAAGAACAGUUUAUGUCACACGGGCAUUAAGUGCCCAUGGCCCAGGACUGUCUGCUAAUCUGACUCCAAAGGUUAUACUCUUAAAACUAUAUUAUUGCCUCUUCUCAGGUAACUUCUAUGUCAGAUUUACUAGGUCCCAGACAGAAUUUCUAAGAUAUGAAAUUAUGAGCAAAUUGGCCAUGCACACAAAUUUGAUAUUCAGAACUUGACAGAGGUGACUCAGAGUUCUUUCACAUUUCAAAGGGAUGGGCAGACUAUACUAUCCAGGGAUUUACGAAGAGCCAGGGGAGAGAGUCCUGCCUAGUCCUACCUGAUUUGAGGCACAAUGCACUUCUUUAAAGAAGGAAGAUUUUCUCCACAGACUUCAAAAAAUCAGGUUUGUUUUUGAUAAUGAGCUCAGAACAGUAUCAGAGGACCCAAAUUGGUGACUUUAAGGUUAGCUGAUAACAGAUUAUAUUUUGUUACCCAUUAUCAUUGCCUAUGGGCUCAUUAUGGGCUUACUUUGUAUUUCUAGAAGAAUGCCCACAUACUGAAGGCUCAAUGUCCAUCUCCCAGUACACUGCUUCUCCUUCAUAGAGUGUCUCCAUCCCUUCAGUGUUCAUUUUCCUUCCUCAUAUCUGCUUCAUUCUUCGCCCUUCUCUUCUUACCUGGAUCCCACUUUACCAUCCCUGUCUUUUCUUCUUUCUUUUAGUUUUCCAUUCUCCAUCCCCAUUAUCCUAUGCUUUGACUUCCACUUUAUCUUACACUCUGCAAUCUUACAUCUGCAAUUCCUGUGCUAGGCAGUACUCAGUUCUGAGCCCUAUCCUUGAGUUUACUCAGAUUUUUCAUACUCUUUAUCUAGCACUUAGCCCUUCAAUGAAGUAUGACUUUUGUCAGCCCAACAGCUGCCUUGGCUUUGUAAGUAACUUCUUGGACAUUCCUCAGUGUUGCUUGCAGUACUCAGAUAAAACUUUAGUUUCAAGAGUGAAGGGCAUUUCUGUAUCUUUAAGAAAUAUAAUGGAGGUAGCUGCAUUUUAUAUUUUCCAGUCUUGAGCUGCAUUUCAUGAAGUGACUUUUGUUACUGGUGGAAAGACUUGUGUUGUGAAUAAUCUGAUUAUGUUCACUCUUCAACCAUUUGUUGUGCUUUACACAAAAGCCUUUGACCAACAGAGUGAUAUCCAGUUCAUGACCAAGCUAAUUCAUUCCAGAGGAGGAACAGGUAUCUUUCUUGAAAUCUUGCUCUAGGGUAAUUUAGUAUAGGAGAGGUCAUGUCUGCAUGGCGUUAGAGUUGAUUUUGGAAGUAAACAAGGACACUGCUAGUCAUAUGGAAACCUCCAAUACCAUAGCAGAAGGGAACUACCUAAAAAGACAUUGUUCACUGUGUUUGCAUGCCUACUACAUUACAAGGCCAGAAGGAAGGCAGGGCUGGGUUAUUUAUAGUCUUCUCGUUUAGCUUUUU